rnacentral:tRNA from 1 species
GCCGGACUGAGCCGUCGUGGUCGACGGGAUAGGCUUCAAUGCCAAUGAGAGGGGACACCUAUUGGGCUAGAAAUAGCCAGAGGUUCGAUUCCUCCUGGCCGGC